rnacentral:lncRNA from 1 species
GGAACAAACCAGUGAGCAGCACCCUUCCAUGGCCUCCUCAUCAGCUCCUGCCUCCAGGUUCCUGCCCUGUAGAUAAAAUAAGCCCAACUGCAGCAGAAACCUUUCAUGACGUUGAACCUGUGAUGUGUGGGAUCCAGUUAACCCCACAGUUGCCUUCAGGCCUCCUUCCUGUUGUCCUGAAUCUUCAGCAGCCACACUUGCCUUGGCCCCAACUGUCCCUGCCUAUCCUUCCUUGGAACCCUGUAAGUUUCCACACCUUUCAUGUUGUGCACUACUAAGUAAUUCACUAUAAACUUGGUUAAACACAAUCAACAAAACCCAAACCAUAGCCUGAACGCUGGGCCACCCUCUAUGCUGCUUUGCCAGAUUAAUCAUUCCACUACCUUUCAACUCAAAGGCUCCAACCAUUCCAAGACACCAGCAAAAUGUAGACAAAUUCUUUUCCAGAAUCUAACACUAAUGGCCUCUAAAUACAAUUCUUAAUCAAGUUUUCAUUUCUAUCUGAAACCUCACAAACAUAGACAUUGCAUUUUGGUCUUCUUAACUCCCACCAUAAUAAACCAUGAAAUUGAGUGUA